rnacentral:rRNA from 1 species
CGGGAGGCAGCAGUUAGGAAUCUUCGGCAAUGGGGGAAACCCUGACCGAGCGACGCUGCUUGAAGGAUGAAGGUUUUCGGAUCGUAAACUUCUGAACGAGGGACGAAAAAUGACGGUACCUCGCUAAUAGCACCGGCUAACUCCGUGCCAGCAGCCGCGGUAAUACGGAGGGUGCAAGCGUUAUCCGGAAUCACUGGGCGUAAAGGGCGCGUAGGCGGUUUGUUAAGUCCGAUGUUAAAGACCGAGGCUCAACCUCGACACGGCGUUGGAUACUGGCAAGCUGGACGGUUGGAGAGGAAGGUAGAAUUACCAGUGUAGCGGUGGAAUGCGUAGAUACUGGUAGGAAUACCCAUUGCGAAGGCAGCCUUCUGGACAACACGUGACGCUGAGGCGCGAAAGUGUGGGGAGCAAACCGGAUUAGAUACCCGGGUAGUCCACACCCUAAAC